rnacentral:rRNA from 1 species
AGUGGACGCUGGCGGUAGGCCUAACACAUGCAAGUCGAACGGCAGCACAGUAAGAGCUUGCUCUUACGGGUGGCGAGUGGCGGACGGGUGAGGAAUACAUCGGAAUCUACUUUUUCGUGGGGGAUAACGUAGGGAAACUUACGCUAAUACCGCAUACGACCUACGGGUGAAAGCAGGGGAUCUUCGGACCUUGCGCGAUUGAAUGAGCCGAUGUCGGAUUAGCUAGUUGGCGGGGUAAAGGCCCACCAAGGCGACGAUCCGUAGCUGGUCUGAGAGGAUGAGCAGGCAGAAGGGAGAUGAGACAGGGUCAAGACGCAUACGGGAGGCAGCAGUGGGGAAGAGUGGAAAAAGGGCGGAAGGCUGAACAAGCCAUACGGCGUGAGAGAAGAAGGCCUGCGGGUUGUAAAGCACUUUUGUUGGGAAAGAAAAGCAACAGGUUAAUAACCCGCUGUGCUGACGGUACACAAAGAAUAAGCACAGGAUAACUUCGUG